rnacentral:rRNA from 1 species
AUACAGAGGGUGCAAGCGUUAAUCGGAUUUACUGGGCGUAAAGCGCGCGUAGGUGGUUUGAUCAGUCUGAUGUGAAAGCCCAGGGCUCAACCUUGGAAUUGCAUUCGAUACUGUCAGACUAGAGUUUAGGAGAGGAAGGUGGAAUUCCAGGUGUAGCGGUGAAAUGCGUAGAUAUCUGGAGGAAUACCAGUGGCGAAGGCGGCCUUCUGGACUAAAACUGACCCUGAGGUGCGAAAGCGUGGGGAGCAAACAGGAUUAGAUACCCCAGUAGUCC